rnacentral:rRNA from 1 species
UACAGAGGGGGCAAGCGUUGUUCGGAAUUACUGGGCGUAAAGGGCGCGUAGGCGGCCUUCUAAGUCGAACGUGAAAUCCCUGGGCUCAACCCAGGAACUGCGUCCGAUACUGGAAGGCUUGAAUCCGGGAGAGGGAUGCGGAAUUCCAGGUGUAGCGGUGAAAUGCGUAGAUAUCUGGAGGAACACCGGUGGCGAAGGCGGCAUCCUGGACCGGCAUUGACGCUGAGGCGCGAAAAGCUAGGGGGAGCAAACGGGG